rnacentral:rRNA from 1 species
GAUCAUGGCUCAGGACGAACGCUGGCGGCGCGCCUAACACAUGCAAGUCGAACGGGGUUAUACGGGAUGAAGUUUUCGGAUGGAAUUCUAUAUAACCUAGUGGCGGACGGGUGGGUAACACGUGAGCAACCUGCCUAUCAGAGGGGGAUAACGAUUGGAAACGAUCGCUAAUACCGCAUGACAUAGCGGGAAGGCAUCUUCCUGCUAUCAAAGAUUUAUCGCUGAUAGAUGGGCCCGCG